AAUCUAUGAUGAUCCUAUCCCGAAUCUGAAAUUGCUGUUGAAAAAUCAAAAUUACGGAUCUGGCUUCUGAGAU
rnacentral:snoRNA from 1 species